AUUUUAGUAUACUUGUACAAUUUCCGGAUGGCAUGUUUGUAAUAUAAAUUUGAAAAUUGAAAACAUUAAUUUAAGCAGAUUUGUUUGUCGAAAAAAUGCAAACUUCAACAAAACAAAAAUGCCCCAAAAGAGUAAAUCAGACGAAACUGGGUUUUUCUGGUAACUAACAUCCCCACAAAGUGGAUCAUCGCGCAUUCAAUGCGAUAUACAGCUCGUAAGAAUUAAAAAGUAAGAAACAGCAAACUCAGUUGUCGUAGUGGCCCGUAUUUUGAUAGCAUGAAAACACUGCAAACUACUUGAAGUAUUCUCAAGGCCAUGUCAAUAUUGACGAACAUUAUUACCGAACACAAAAUUCGAAAGAACUCAAUAAAAAGAGACGACAGAGUUAACGAACCGAAGAAGAAUGGUAAACACAUCAUAAUAAGAGAUAAAGGAACUGAGAUACUGACAAUGCAAUAAAAGUGAUAAAAAGCAAAUAAGGACAAUAAAUAUACCGCUAUGCAGCAAAGUAAAUUAUUUAGAAGACAAACCGACGGACAAAGCGCAAAGAGAUGCGAAGGGACAACGCAACAAUUUCACACGUCGUCAACAUAGUGCGGCACUGACAAUAAUAAUGAUGCUGACGACAGCAAUGCUCGUAUGAGAACACCGGACAGGCCCUAAUGCAGAUGUCGAUGUAUGUGCGAGUUCUCAUAAAGUAAGCCAUGUGCGUCAAUGCGCUCGUUUGCCGCGAAAUAAAGCAAAUAGGUCACGUUUUUGGCGACACCAUCGAUUUACCAUAAAUUGCAAGUUAAGCACAAAUCAGCAGCACGAUAAAGGAAAAGACUACAUAAGCGGCGACCGGCAAGCGACGACCACAAAGGGAAGCUUGCAAACAGGCAAACAAUAAAACAGGAUAUUGCUGGUUAUGUAGGGAUAUGCGCACGGCUGCAGACGGUAACAAUUGUGAAGUUGACAAAGUCAACGAAAGCGAAAUAAAAUACACAAAAUGACAACCAAAUUCGGAAGAAAAAUAGUUUGUUGAUGAAGAAAAAAUGCCGAUUACACAGGACGUAUGAGUGACAGACAAAAUUUAAGUAUGAUUUGUAUUGACACUCCCCAGGAAAGCACUUGGUGGUAGUGUUGCGUGCACAUCGGGACGCGCAGCAAUGACAGUUAACGCGGCGACAAACACGCGUGCUCACACACAUAGAACGCACUCGAGUUGCUUUUCUAUAUUCAUAGUCAGCGAAAAGUUUUGCUCUCUUUUCUACACUUUUGCCUGUUAAAAUGCUAGGAAUUUUUUACGUUUUAUUCUUUUUCUGUUAUUUAAUUUUUUCGAGGUUCAUCUCAAGAGCACUGGUCAAGUUUGGACGCUGACACAUGAGCUUUCGCUGUCAUGGCAACACGCCCAUUCGAGCACAUAUUGAAGCUGUCCUGUGGAUUUUUUUAUUUACGUGUGACAAAAAAAUGUAAAAGGGUUUACGGUUAUGUAAAUAAAUAAUGUAAAGUUGGACCUUUUUCCACCACUGUUA